AACGAACGCUGGCGGCAUGCCUAACACAUGCAAGUCGAACGAGACCUUCGGGUCUAGUGGCGCACGGGUGCGUAACGCGUGGGAACCUGCCCUUAGGUUCGGAAUAACUCCCCGAAAGGGGUGCUAAUACCGGAUAAUGUCUUCGGACCAAAGAUUUAUCGCCUUUGGAUGGGCCCGCGUUGGAUUAGCUCGUUGGUAGGGUAAAAGCCUACCAAGGCGACGAUCCAUAGCUGGUCUGAGAGGAUGAUCAGCCACACUGGGACUGAGACACGGCCCAGACUCCUACGGGAGGCAGCAGUGGGGAAUAUUGGACAAUGGGCGAAAGCCUGAUCCAGCAAUGCCGCGUGAGUGAUGAAGGCCUUAGGGUUGUAAAGCUCUUUUACCCGGGAUGAUAAUGACAGUACCGGGAGAAUAAGCUCGGGCUAACUCCGUG
rnacentral:rRNA from 1 species